ACUUCCCCGACAUUGGAAUAACAUUACCUUUUCUGACCGGGAUAGCAUUUUUUUUUGGAGAUUGAGGGGAGCUCUCUCUCUCUCUCCCGGCUCCAGAUCCCACUCCCCAAUCUGACCCCUGGUGUCUGACGCCUCGCCUGGAAUUUGGAGGAAAUUCAAACAGAAGCGGACGAAUUAUUCGGAAGAGACCGACCGAGAGCUAUCAGGCCUAUGGUUAUGAUAAUGAAGCAACAAUGAUCACCUGAUCUGCACAUUUAAUAAAGGACGCCAUUGGCUCCAACUUGCCUGUUCAGGAGAACAAGUGCCACAUUCUUUGGCAAAAAUAGAGGCUUUGAACCCAGUACAUCCUCUGAAUUACCAGCUCAACAACAACUCCACUCAGCCAUAACUUCUCAUGGGAGGCAAAAGACUACAAAAUAUAUAUUUUGUUUGCAUCUGAAUAGUUCCAUUUCUAUGGAUUGAACUAAUGGAAGCAACAGCAGCUCCAUAUGACAACCCAGUGCCAGAUUCUCUAGCUAUCAGCUGUUAAUUAGAUUAUGUGUAAACAGGUAGCAGGUACUCACUGAAAGAUGAUUUGUGUGAAUGCAGAGAGACAGUAACUAUGUUGCCUGAUGGAUAAGGCUUCUAACAUUGGUGUCCUUAUAUUUUAUCAGAAAAUUGUAAAGAGACACUUGUGGACAUCGAC